rnacentral:rRNA from 1 species
GCCAGACUCCUACGGGAGGCAGCAGUGGGGAAUAUUGCACAAUGGGGGAAACCCUGAUGCAGCGACGCCGCGUGAGUGAAGAAGUAUUUCGGUACGUAAAGCUCUCUCAGCAGGGAAGAAAAUGACGGUACCUGACUAAGAAGCCCCGGCUAACUACGUGCCAGCAGCCGCGGUAAUACGUAGGGGGCAAGCGUUAUCCGGAUUUACUGGGUGUAAAGGGAGCGUAGACGGCAUGGCAAGUCAGAUGUGAAAGCCCGGGGCCCAACCCCGGGACUGCUCUGGAAACUGCGGCGCUGGAGUACGGGAGGGGCAGGCGGAAUUCCUGGUGUAGCGGUGAAAUGCGUAGAUAUUAGGAGGAACACCAGUGGCGAAGGCGGCCUGCUGGACGAUGACUGACGUUGAGGCUCGAAAGCGUGGGGAGCAAACAGGAUUAGAUCCCCCAGUA